UCAGACAUGGUGUAGCGGUAACACGGCCUCUUUCUGUACCAAAAACAGUUUGUACGGUGAGGCGGUCCUGGGUUCAAACCCCAGUGUCUGAG